ensembl:lincRNA
GCCGCGCUCAUCCCCCCAGAGCAGACGGCCCGCCCCAGCGGCCCCCGUGAGGGGGUGGGCCUGGGGUCCCCGCCCGUGACCUCCCCGAGGCGCCCGGCCGUUCCAUUUCCGCUUCCGGCGCUCACGGCCUGUGUCUCCUCCAGAAAGCCACAUCCGGGCUCACCAGACCCGAACGAGCCUGCCGCCCCCGCGGGCGCCGGACCCGCGCUGCCCGGGGUUCGAGCCCCCGCCCCGGGAGCACCGGCUGACUUGGUUUGUAUUUAAUUGUGAGUAAAGAGGGCGCAGCAGGUACGUGGACCGGCCGCCAAGCGCUGAGUGUGUGUCCAGAAGUUUCUGUUCCACCAAUUCCUGCAUGACUCAUGUCAAAAGAACCUCCAGAAAGAGGCGCGGCCUCGCUCCGCGCAGGCGUGGGGCACCCGCGGGGCUCCCAGGCCCCCCGUCCCUAGUGGGCCCCGUGGGCGCUCGGAGCAGGUCCAGCUGCAGCGGGACAGGCACGGGUCUCCGCGGUGGCUGCGCACGGCGCGGGUGAACCUCAGGGCAGAGUGUAUUUGCAUGUCUAUUAUUUUCCUGCCCUAACAAAGGCCCACUGAAGCUGGGUGGCUUAAAAUAACAGAAAUCCCUCCCCCAGAAGUUCUGGGGUGUCGGCAGGGUGGGGGUGGGAUGGGGGUCCCUCCCGGAGCUUCUGGGGGCCCCAGGCCGUCCUCGGCUUGUGGACGCAUCAGCCGGCUGCCCGCCUUCCCGAGGCAGCCCUGCGGGGCCAUGGGUCUCAAUUCUCCCCCUUUUCUCUUGCAACCUGUCGUUGACUUGCAGGCGCACCCCGAAUCCAGGAUGGGCUCACCCCGAGAUCCUCAACUCAAUCCUACCUGCAGAGACCCUGUUUCCGGCAAGGUCACGCCCCCAGUGCCUGGAGGUAGGACGUGGGUCUGUGUUUUUUGGGGGGAUGGCUAGAAAUGAGAUUGCGCUGCUCUCGGUUACCCACAAUUUACAGACCCAAAAGAGCUCCAAGAGGAAAGGCCAGGAUCGCCCGGAAGGGGAGCCGCGAGCUGUGCCCCAUUGCCGCCCUUGGGGCUCAGAAAAGUACCCCAAAGUCCGGAGGCUUUUUAUGCCCGGGGCGCACACUGGGGACCUGCCUGGCCAGUUCACCCCCGAGCCGAGCUGCACCCCCAAACAGCUGCACCCCCGGGCUGAGCUGCACCCUCAAACAGCUGCACCCCCAAGCCAAGCUGCACCCCCGAGCCGAGCUGCACCCCCGACCAAGCUGCACCCCCAAACAGCUGCACCCCCGGGCCGAGCUGCACCCCCAGCCGAGCUGCACUCCCUGGCUGUGCGCUCCUUUGUUGCCCCAGCCAGGCUCGAGUCUCCACUCUGAGCUGUAACCAAAUAAACAUCUGGUCGCUGUACUGAGGUGGCCUUUCUUCAUUCCAAAGUUGGUCCAAACUGAGGAAUAAAGUGGCAAUGACACCAUGUGGGAUCUAAGCCCCCUCUUGAUCUAGAGGUGGAGGGGACAUCCCCAUCCCAGGGUCCACAGGAUGGAGGAAUAGAAUAUGGAUAUGACCUUCUAUAAACUAUUGUGAUGAUAAAUUGUAGCACUGAGGUGGAGAAAGUGGCCACGGUAGUCGAGGCAGGGAGAGGGAGGAAGAGAAGUGAUGUAGGGGCAUUUUCAGGACUUGGAGUUGUCCUAAAUGAUGCUGCAGGG